rnacentral:rRNA from 1 species
UACGGGGGGGGCAAGCGUUGUUCGGAAUUACUGGGCGUAAAGGGCUCGUAGGCGGCCAACUAAGUCAGACGUGAAAUCCCUCGGCUUAACCGGGGAACGGCAUCUGAUACUGGAUGGCUGGAGUUCGGGAGAGGGAUGCGGAAUUCCAGGUGUAGCGGUGAAAUGCGUAGAUAUCUGGAGGAACACCGGUGGCGAAGGCGGCAUCCUGGACCGACACUGACGCUGAGGAGCGAAAGCCAGGGGAGCAAACAGG